rnacentral:misc_RNA from 1 species
GAUGAAGACGCAGCGAAAUGCGAUAAGUAAUGUGAAUUGCAGAAUUCAGUGAAUCAUCGAAUCUUUGAACGCACAUUGCGCCCGCCAGUAUUCUGGCGGGCAUGCCUGUCUGAGCGUCAUUUCAACCCUCAUGCCCCUAGGGCGUGGUGUUGGGGAUCGGCCAAAGCCCGCGAGGGACGGCCGGCCCCUAAAUCUAGUGGCGGACCCGUCGUGGCCUCCUCUGCGAAGUAGUGAUAUUCCGCAUCGGAGAGCGAUGAGCCCCUGCCGUUAAACCCCCAACUUUCCAAGGUUGACCUCAGAUCAGGUAGGAAUACCCGCUGAACUUAAGCAUAUCAAUAAGCGGAGGA